GUGCUCGCUUUGGCAGCACAUGUAAUAAAACUGGAAUGAUACAGAGAUUAGUAUGGCCCCUGCACAAGAUGAAAUGCAUAUUUAAAACCAAGAGAGAAAGGAA